rnacentral:rRNA from 1 species
CUGGCGGCGAGUGGCGAACGGGUGAGUAAUGUAUCGGAACGUGCCUAGUAGCGGGGGAUAACUACUCGAAAGAGUAGCUAAUACCGCAUACGCCCUACGGGGGAAAGGGGGGGAUCGCAAGACCUCUCACUAUUAGAGCGGCCGAUAUCGGAUUAGCUAGUUGGUGAGGUAAAGGCUCACCAAGGCGACGAUCCGUAGCUGGUUUGAGAGGACGACCAGCCACACUGGGACUGAGACACGGCCCAGACUCCUACGGGAGGCAGCAGUGGGGAAUUUUGGACAAUGGGGGAAACCCUGAUCCAGCCAUUCCGCGUGUGCGAUGAAGGCCUUCGGGUUGUAAAGCACUUUUGGCAGGAAAGAAAUCGCACCAAUUAAUACUUGGUGUGGAUGACGGUACCUGCAGAAUAAGCACCGGCUAACUACGUGCCAGCAGCCGCGGUAAUACGUAGGGUGCAAGCGUUAAUCGGAAUUACUGGGCGUAAAGCGUGCGCAGGCGGUUCGGAAAGAGAGGUGUGAAAUCCCAGGGCUCAACCUUGGAACUGCACUUUUAACUACCGAGCUAGAGUAUGUCAGAGGGGGGCGGAAUUCCGCGUGUAGCAGUGAAAUGCGUAGAUAUGCGGAGGAACGCCGAUGGCGAAGGCAGCCCCCUGGGAUAAUACUGACGCUCAUGCACGAAAGCGUGGGGAGCAAACAGGAUUAG